GCUAGUGCAGCUAUUUGCUGUCUUAUUUCCCACCAUUCUAUGCAAAGAGCAUGCCUCUUCCUGUAUUACAUCCUCUUGAAGAUUUUCUAAUAUUGCUGCCUUCCGUAAAAGACUUCUGCAGCCUCACGAGCGUAUGUGUGCAGGUGGGGAAGGGAAGUGGGGAGUCAUGUAAGUGUAUUUUGAACUAUGUAGGCUAACCAACAACUCGCAUCCAUGUUGCAGCUCAACAUUUGCUUGAAGAAAACCAAGUAUAGUGUAUCAGAAAACUUCAGUGCUGUCCUUUCCUUGUCUACCCACGGGAACUAUUUUCUGGCCCUGUGGAGAGCCAUGGGAUUUUUUGUUUCAUGCAGCAUUUCAAAGGGGAGUUUCUGACUACGGAUCCGUGCUGUUCUGAAGUCAUCACAGGAGCAAGGCAAGUGACUUUUUU